rnacentral:rRNA from 1 species
GACGAACGCUGGCGGCGUGCCUAACACAUGCAAGUCGAAGAUAGUGGCGAACGGGUGAGUAAUACGUGGGUAACCUGCCCUCCUUUUUGGGAUAAGACUUGGAAAGGGGGUCUAAUACCAAAUAAAGGGGGAUGGGCUCGCGGCCUGUCAGCUUGUUGGUGGGGGGAUGAGCUAACAAGGCGGUGACGGGUAGCCGGACUGAGAGGCUACACGGGAACAUAGAGACGGCGAAGAGGCCCAGGGGAGUACGGGGUGGGGAAGUGGGGAAAAUUGCAGAAAGGGUGAGAGAGUGAUGCAGCGAGGGCGAGGAGGGGAUGAGGGCUGUAGGGUUGUAUACCUCUGUCGCAAUCGAACGGGUAGGUGGAGAAGAAGCGCCGGCUAACUACGUGCCAGCAGCCGCGGUAAUUC